rnacentral:rRNA from 1 species
UCGUCGUCGCUGUCCGAAAUGCGGUGCACUCUUUCGUGGUACGCGUCAGCGUCGGUUCGCAGCGGGCGAUAAGGCCUUGCGGAAGGUAGCUAGGGGCUCGCCCCUAGUGUUAUAGACGCAGGAGCUGGGCUCGCUACGGACCGAGGAGAGAGAGUAUCGUUGCAGCGCAUGCCGCAAGGCUAGCUACCUGCCGUCUGUCUCGCUUCACGGACUGAGGACUGCACGCAGUGCUCGGACUGGCGGAGUGGUCCGGCGGUGGAGUGGUAUAAAUGCGCUCAGGACGCUGGCGUCCAAAUGGCCGUGC